GUGCUCAUGUCAACAUACAUACAACCAAAAUUAGAAUGACACAGAGAAGAUUUUCAUGGCCCUAGGCAAGGAUGACAAGAAACUUUGUGGACAGGACUCUAGUGGCU
ensembl:snRNA predicted gene, 23314